UCCGUCUGCGAUCAAACAUCUGACUGGCACACACGAGGUGUACGAGUUUUCACCGGUGUCCUCUCGCGCCACAGGCGGGAAUUCAAAAUAACGGAUGGCAACAACCUCUCGACUGUCCCACUGGAGAAUUUUCAGUAUUUUCCAGUUGAGUAGACAAAAAAAGGACACCCAAGGCCAACAGACCCAGCUCCAGCCCGCCCUGAUGCUCAUCCUUGCACUGCCUGGGACACCUAAGGCCAACAGGCGCAGCUCCUGUUCUCUUUUUGCCAUAAAUACAUAUCUACUUUAGCAAUACAAAAU